rnacentral:misc_RNA from 1 species
GAUGAAGAACGCAGCGAAAUGCGAUAAGUAAUGUGAAUUGCAGAAUUCCGUGAAUCAUCGAAUCUUUGAACGCACAUUGCGCCCUCUGGUAUUCCGGGGGGCAUGCCUGUCCGAGCGUCAUUUGCAACCCUCAAGCCCGGCUUGUGUGAUGGGUGCCGUCCCCUACGGGACGCGCCCCGAAGGCAAUGGCGGCGUCGCGGUUAUCCGAUCAGCCAAAGUGUAUGGGGCUCUGUCACUCACUUUACGGCCCGGACCGGCGCCAGUCCGAAUCAAUCUUUUUUCUAAAGUUGACCUCGGAUCAGGUAGGGAUACCCGCUGAACUUAAGCAUAUCAAUAAGCGGAGGA